GACGAACGCUGGCGGCGUGCUUAACACAUGCAAGUCGAGCGGUAAGGCCCUUUCGGGGGUACACGAGCGGCGAACGGGUGAGUAACACGUGGGUGACCUGCCCUCAGCUCUGGGAUAAGCCUGGGAAACUGGGUCUAAUACUGGAUAUGACUCCACGGUGCAUGUCGUGGGGUGGAAAGCCUUGUGCGGCUGAGGAUGGGCCCGCGGCCUAUCAGCUUGUUGGUGGGGUGANGGCCUACCAAGGCGACGACGGGUAGCCGGCCUGAGAGGGCGACCGGCCACACUGGGACUGAGACACGGCCCAGACUCCUACGGGAGGCAGCAGUGGGGAAUUGUUCGCAAUGGGCGCAAGCCUGACGACGCAACGCCGCGUGAAGGAUGAAGGUCUUCGGAUUGUAAACUUCUGUUGAUCGGGACGAACAGCCAAGGGAUC
rnacentral:rRNA from 1 species